AGGACGAACGCUGGCGGCGUGCUUAACACAUGCAAGUCGAACGAGGCGCUUGCGCCUAGUGGCGAACGGGUGAGUAACACGUGAGCAACCUGCCCUUGGCUCUGGGAUAGCCUCCGGAAACGGGGAUUAAUACCGGACAUGACCUUCUCCUGCAUGGGGGAGGGUGGAAAGUUUUUCGGCCAGGGAGGGGCUCGCGGCCUAUCAGCUUGUUGGGGGGGUAACGGCCCACCAAGGCGACGAAGGGUAGCC
rnacentral:rRNA from 1 species